rnacentral:rRNA from 1 species
UACGUAGGGUGCAAGCGUUGUCCGGAAUUAUUGGGCGUAAAGAGAGCGCAGGCGGUCUGGCGCGUCGGCUGUGAAAACCCGGAGCUCAACUCCGGGCCUGCAGUCGAUACGGGCAGACUGGAGUGCGGCAGGGGAGACUGGAAUUCCUGGUGUAGCGGUGAAAUGCGCAGAUAUCAGGAGGAACACCGGUGGCGAAGGCGGGACUCUGGGCCGAUACUGACGCUGAGACGCGAAAGCGUGGGGAGCAAACAGG